GGCUUGAUGAUGUAGUUGGUUAUUGCAUCUGUCUAACAUGCAGGUGUCAUUUUGUGGAGUGAACAUAUAGCUGUUCGCACAGAAGGCCCCCGGUUCAAACCCAGGUUGAAUCA